GUAGUUAAUUUCUGAAAUGAACAAAACGGGUCUAAAUAAUGAUUACAUUCAAAGAAUUUAUAAUGUAAACUAAUACAAACAACUAUCCCAAAUGACUAGUCUAGCAAAAAUAUCAUUUGUUAAUUCAAUGCGUCCAUGUGUGCUUAAGAAAAUUAAAACAAACCAUCAGUACUGUGUGGCCCAAUCAACAUCAUCACCUCUGCAAGUGUCCAAGUGUGAACACAGCAGUGGUUCUCCAACUCGAAAUGGUUCCUAUCAGUCAGCACCGGAGUGUGGGGAGCUCAGGCACAUGCUAGCAUCACAGGCUAUACCAACAGGUGGAUCUGUGUGUGUUCCUGUGCUAUUUCCCAAAUACUUAAACCAUGGAAUGGUUUUUGAGAUAGAUAUUUCGCAUCCACUUCUUAAAGGCAGAAGAAGGCUGUAUCACUUAUCUCUUGCAGUAAAACUGAAUUACACAUUGAUGACUAUUUGCCCACCUCCAGAGAGCAGAGUUUAUCUUAGUUACAAACCUUGAACAGCAUUACAUGAGGCCAGUUUUCCUGUGCUUACUUUGUCUAGAAUAUUUCAGACAAUUUUGAAAAGAAUUCUACAUCUUUCUUACCACAUUACACAGUAUAAUCCACCUUAAAUAAGAUAGCAUACGGUAUCUAAUGACUGUUCCCAA
rnacentral:lncRNA from 1 species